GCCCGCUUAGCUCAGUGGUAGAGCGCAUCACUAGUAUAUCAUUCCCCUGAUGUAUCUACUGAUACAUGAUGAGGUCCUCAGUUCGACUCUGGGAGUGGGCU
rnacentral:tRNA from 1 species